rnacentral:misc_RNA from 1 species
GUCUAAUACGACCAAGCUAAUAUUUGCUUGAUUCACUUCUACAAGAGGUGUGUAUCAGCUCUGAUAUUGAUGGGUCACUCACCUUUGAGUACAUCUCGGGUUUGUGUAUCCAUCAUGUCAGUCACUGAAAUAUUUCUGUAGGGCUAAUGAAAGCCCUUUU